rnacentral:rRNA from 1 species
UACGUAGGGUGCGAGCGUUAAUCGGAAUUACUGGGCGUAAAGCGCGCGCAGGCGGGUUUGCGAGUCGGGUGUGAAAUCCCCGGGCUCAACCUGGGAAUGGCAUUCGGGACUGCAAGGCUGGAGUGCGGCAGAGGAGACUGGAAUUCCUGGUGUAGCAGUGAAAUGCGUAGAUAUCAGGAGGAAUACCGAUGGCGAAGGCAGGUCUCUGGGCUGACACUGACGCUCAUGCACGAAAGCGUGGGGAGCAAACAGG